AUUAAAUAUGAAUCAGAAAAUGAUCUCUCCCCAAACAUGGCUGCUUACCUUGUCAAUCUAUUCAUUCACUUGCCUGUUUUUUCCCGGUAUUACUUUAUCAAUGGUUAAAAUGUAACACAGUGAGAAAAGGACAGAGGUAGGACUUUAGUUCGAUAAAGCUUUUUGAAUUAGUCGGAGCUCAAGAAAUGGAUGAGUGUCACCGUCUAACUGAAGGUCAAUAUCAAACAACUCACAGAAUCACCACAGAAACAUCUCAUUGGGUCCUGUAGAAAUGGUUCCAGAAAGGCUUAACUGAAGAUGGACAAUCCACCCUGCAUGCGGUGAGCAUUGGACUGCUGAGCUGGUUUAAGGAAGAAAGUAGCAAACCAUGAA